GCGAAAGUCCCCUUCGGGGGGCGAGUAGAGUGGCGCACGGGUGAGUAACACGUAGGUAAUCUACCUUUGGAUUGGGAAUAACCACCGGAAACGGUGGCUAAUACCGAAUAAUGCAGCGGCACCUAAUGGUGACAGUUGUUAAAGCGGGGGAUCGCAAGACCUCGCGUCUGAAGAGGAGCCUGCGGCAGAUUAGCUAGUUGGUAAGGUAACGGCUUACCAAGGCGAUGAUCUGUAGCCGGCCUGAGAGGGCGGUCGGCCACACUGACACUGACAUACGGGUCAGACUCCUACGGGAGGCAGCAGUCGGGAAUUUUGGGCAAUGGGCGAAAGCCUGACCCAGCAACGCCGCGUGAAGGAUGAAAUCCCUCGGGAUGUAAACUUCGCAAGAACGGGAAGAAUAAGUAAGGGUUAAUAUCUCUUACGAUGACGGUACUGUUUGUAAGCUCCGGCUAACUCCGUGCCAGCAGCCGCGGUAAUACGGGGGGAGCAAGCGUUGUUCGGAUUUACUGGGCGUAAAGGGCGCGUAGGCGGCCACCGCAAGUCGACUGUGAAAUCUCCGGGCUUAACCCGGAAAGGUCAGCCGAUACUGCGGGGCUAGAGUGCAGAAGGGGCAACUGGAAUUCUCGGUGUAGCGGUGAAAUGCGUAGAUAUCGAGAGGAACACCUGCGGCGAAGGCGGGUUGCUGGGCUGACACUGACGCUGAGGCGCGAAAGCUAGGGGAGCGAACGGGAUUAGAUACCCCGGUAGUCCUAGCCUUAAACGAUGAAUGCUUGGUGUCUGGGG
rnacentral:rRNA from 1 species